CUUUAAAAGCAUGGGGGAAGCAGAGAGGCCUGCCCACAAACUCCAGUUCGUCUUCGACACGACCUAGAAUCUAAACAAUG
rnacentral:ribozyme from 1 species